GCAUAUCAAUUAAGCGGAGGAAAAAGAAACUAAACAAGGAUUUCCCUUAGUAACUGCGAGUGAAGCGGGAAAAGCUCAAAUUUAAAAUCUGGCGGUCUCCGGCCGUCCGAGUUGUAAUUUAGAGAAGCGUUAUCCGUGCUGGACCGUGUAUAAGUCUCCUGGAAUGGAGCGUCAUAGAGGGUGAGAAUCCCGUCUUUGACACGGACUACCAGUGCAUUGUGAUGCGCUCUCGACGAGUCGAGUUGUUUGGGAAUGCAGCUCAAAAUGGGUGGUAAAUGCCAUCUAAAGCUAAAUAUUGGCGAGAGACCGAUAGCGAACAAGUACCGUGAGGGAAAGAUGAAAAGAACUUUGGAAAGAGAGUUAAACAGUACGUGAAAUUGUCGAAAGGGAAACGGUUGCAGUCAGUCGCGUCCGCCGGGGAUCAACCUUGCUUUUGCUUGGCGUAUUUCCCGGUGGAUGGGUCAGCAUCAGUUUUGACCGCAGUUGAAAGGCUGGAGGAAUGUGGCACCUUCGGGUGUGUUAUAGCCUCCUGUCAUAUGCUGCGGUUGGGACUGAGGAACUCAGCACGCCGCAAGGCCGGGAUUCGUCCACGUUCGUGCUUAGGAUGCUGGCAUAAUGUCUGUAACCGACCCGUCUUGAAACACGGACCAAGGAGUCUAACAUGCACGCGAGUGUUUGGGUGGCAAACCCGAGCGCGUAAUGAAAGUGAAAGUUGAGACCUCUGUCGUGGAGGGCAUCGACGCCCGGACCAGAACUUUUGGGACGGAUCCGCGGUAGAGCGUGUAUGUUGGGACCCGAAAGAUGGUGAACUAUGCCUGAAUAGGGCGAAGCCAGAGGAAACUCUGGUGGAGGCUCGUAGCGAUUCUGACGUGCAAAUCGAUCGUCGAAUUUUGGGUAUAGGGGGCGAAAGACUAAUCGAACCAUCUAGUAGCUGGUUCUGCGA
rnacentral:rRNA from 1 species